rnacentral:rRNA from 1 species
CCUAGGAAUCUGCCUCGUAGUAGGAGACAACGUUUCGAAAGGAACGCUAAUACCGCAUACGUCCUACGGGAGAAAGUGGGGGAUCUUCGGACCUCACGCUAUGAGAUGAGCCUAGGUACGAUUAGCUAGUUGGUGGGGUAAAGGCUCACCAAGGCGACGAUCGUUAACUGGUCUGAGAGGAUGAUCAGUCACACUGGAACUGAGACACGGUCCAGACUCCUACGGGAGGCAGCAGUGGGGAAUAUUGGACAAUGGGGGAAACCCUGAUCCAGCCAUGCCGCGUGUGUGAAGAAGGCCUUCGGGUUGUAAAGCACUUUAAGCAGGGAGGAAGGUUUGCUGGAUAAUACCUGGCAAAAUUGACGUUACCUGCAGAAUAAGCACCGGCUAACUCUGUGCCAGCAGCCGCGGUAAUACAGAGGGUGCAAGCGUUAAUCGGAAUUACUGGGCGUAAAGCGCGCGUAGGCGGUUACGUAAGUUGGAGGUGAAAUCCCCGGGCUUAACCUGGGAACGGCCUCCAAAACUACGUGGCUAGAGUAUGGGAGAGGGAGGUGGAAUUCCGGGUGUAGCGGUGAAAUGCGUAGAUAUCCGGAGGAACAUCGAUGGCGAAGGCAGCCUCCUGGCCUAAUACUGACGCUGAGGUGCGAAAGCGUGGGGGAGCAACAGGAUUAGAUACCCUGGUAGUCCACGCCGUAAACGAUGUCGACUAGCCGUUGGGCUCCUUGAGGGCUUAGUGCGCAGCUAACGCGAUAAGUCGACCGCCUGGGGAGUACGGGCGCAAGGUUAAAACUCAAAUGAAUUGACGGGGGCCCGCACAAGCGGUGGAGCAUGUGGUUUAAUUCGAUGCAACGCGAAGAACCUUACCUGUCUUGACAUGUC